rnacentral:lncRNA from 1 species
AUAGAUUAAAUUAAUUUAAUUUUUUUUAAAAUAUAAUUUUAUAUUUGUAAUUAAGAGACAUAAAUAUAUUUAAUUUAAUUUAAUUUAAUACAUUAUUUAUGUGACUGUGCACAAUGUUGCAUGUUUUAAAAAAGGUANAUCUGAAGAACAAUGUAGUUUUUAUAUGCUAACCUGAUGAUUGUGUAAUGUUUUUNCUGUGAAAGACAAAAUCAUUUAUCUGAUUAGGAGCAGCCAUUGAUGUUUGAUGCAUGUAUAUGUUGGAUUUCUUCUUACUUGAUAGCAAAAUCACAUAAGAUUAUAUAAUAGAAAAUAUAAUUUGUGAAUAAAAUCUUUCUGCCAACAACUGAUUGUAUAAACUAA